rnacentral:rRNA from 1 species
GCCCUACGGGGUGCAGCAGGCGCGAAAACUUUACAAUGCUGGCAACAGCGAUAAGGGAACCUCGAGUGCCGGGUUCCAAAUCUGGCUGUCGAGAUGCCUAAAAAGCAUUUCAUAGCAAGGGCCGGGCAAGACCGGUGCCAGCCGCCGCGGUAACACCGGCGGCUCGAGUGGUAACCGUUAUUAUUGGGUCUAAAGGGUCUGUAGCCGGCCGGAUAAGUCUCUUGAGAAAUCUGGCAGCUUAACUGUCAGGCUUUCAGGAGAUACUGUCUGGCUCGAGGCCGGGAGAGGUGAGAGGUACUUCAGGGGUAGGGGUGAAAUCUUGUAAUCCUUGAAGGACCACCAGUGGCGAAGACGUCUCACCAGAACGGACCUGACGGCAAGGGACGAAAGCUAGGGGCACGAACCGGAUUAGAUACCCGGGUAGUCCUAGCCGUAAACGAUACUCGCUAGGUGUCGGCCACGGUGCGACCGUUGUCGGUGCCGUAGGGAAGCCGUGAAGCGAGCCACCUGGGAAGUACGGCCGCAAGGCUGAAACUUAAAGGAAUUGGCGGGGGAGCACCACAACGGGUGGAGCUUGCGGUUUAAUUGGAUUCAACGCCGGAAAUCUUAC